rnacentral:rRNA from 1 species
AUUGAACGCUGGCGGCAGGCCUAACACAUGCAAGUCGAGCGGAGCGGCGGACGGGCGAGUAAUGCCUAGGAAUCUGACUGGUAGAGGGGGAUAACGACCGGCAACGGGCGCUAAUUCCGCAUACUAUCCGAUGAGCCUGGGUGGGAUGAGCUAGUUGGUGGGGUAAAGGCCUACCCAGGCGACGAUCCGUAACUGGUCUGAGAGGAUGAUCAGUCACACUGGAACUGAGACACGGUCCAGACUCCUACGGGAGGCAGCAGUGGGGAAUAUUGCACAAUGGGCGAAAGCCUGAUCCAGCCAUGCCGCGUGUGUGAAGAAGGUCUUCGGGUUGUAAAGCACUUUAAGUUGGGAGGCGUUACCAGCAGAAUAAGCACCGGCUAACUUCGUGCCAGCAGCCGCGGUAAUUC